CGCAUCCCACCCACCCAACCCUAACCUCACACAGCCUCCCUUCCUCACCGCCGGCCGAUUUCGGUCGUUGCCACUCCUCCCCGCCGAUAGCACCAACCUCCACGAGCUCCCCUCGCUCCACCUUCUCCUGUACAGCGAGGAAUCCCCUCCUCUCCGGCGGAUCCUGUGGCUCGAGGCGACGGCUGGCUAGGCCCGCGUGACGGACCCAGGCCGUUGGCGUGCUGCCUCUCCGUGCCGGUCCACCUUGGUCCCCGGUGGCACGAGCAAGGGCAAGGCACCACCGAGUUCCACCUCGGCACUCCACUCCCGAGACCUCUCCUACCCCACUGCACUUCCCGGCGGGCGUCUCCUCCACCUGCAAGUCAGAACGAUUGGGCCGCACAACUCCAACGCCGUUUGUAAGGCCUGCUUGAAAUGAUGAUGAAAAACAAGCGCAGGAUGGGAGUCCAUGAGAAACAACGUCCUUGCAAGAAAGUAAUUAGGCCAACUUUAGAUGGUACCUCCUCAGCGAGAUCGGACAGCUCAGAACCCAGUCCAGGCGCGUUGAGUCAACUCAGUGAGCAAGUAGUUUCAAGAUUGUGUAGGAGUGUUGUGUCGCUCGCCUCAUUCCAUGGUGAUACCAAGUUAGGGGAAUGCACAGGCAUAUGCAUCGAAACCUCAUGCCCUGAUGCUACAAGUUUCCUGACAUCGAGACUUUUGAUUCCACUUACUUGGCCUACAAGGAAGAUCACUGAAAAUUUGACGAUUGAAGUGCACCUUCCGAAUGGUCGGACUGUCACUGGCUGGAUAGAGCAUCCUGGGAGAUAUGUUGAUUUUUUCAUCGUCAAUGUCAAGGACUUGUCUGUAUUUGAUGCCGCGCGUGUAAGUCUUGAUUGUGACAUCCAGUUUGAACCUUAUAGGAAGGUAGCAGCUGUAUGGCGCAAUUUCAGUUCAGGACUUUUAGGGGCCACAAGCGGAGUAGAUCUUGCCUCUCUAAGCGCUCUAACCAGUGAGACAAUGUUCAGCACAUGCCAGAUCAACAAGGCUGGGAUUGGAGGCCCCCUUGUUGAUUUUGAUGGUAACUUUUUGUUGGGAUGAACUGCUCUCGUACCAGAAAGAAAAAGACCCCCUACGUGCGAAGGGAGCAAAUCCUUCAAUUCUUGGAGUAUUACAGGAUGGUCAGUGUUAGAGCUAAGGAAGAGAUUGAUGAUGCUGAAGAACCGGGAAUCGAAAGUGAGAUGAAACAACUACUUUGCAGCAUUCCAGGAGGCAAGCGUAAGAUUCAUUUUCUUGAAGCAAAUUUCGUCGACGAUAUCUGGAGUAAACUACCCAAAGGCGUUGCUUCAAAAAUGUCUCGAAGUGUUGUCUCACUUGCUUCAUUCAAUGGAGUUGCAAAAUUCUUUGCUUGCACUGGUGUAUUUAUAAAGUGCAAUGCAUGCUCUGCAACAAUUCUGACUUCAGCAAGUUUGGUUAGAGUUUCUGGUGAUGCAAACAGGAUUGAUGAUAACCUGAGGAUUGAAGUUUGCCUUCCAAACCAAUUUCGAGUCGUAGGGAUACUGAACCGUUAUAAUUUACAUUACAACAUUGCUCUUGUUGACAUCAUGGGGUACUGGGGUCCUCGUGAAAUAAAAAUUAGCAGGCAUCUAGUUACCUCAUGUAAAAGUGUAAUAGCUGUGGGACGUCUUUUUACUUAUCACAGUAUAAUGGCUGCAAAGGGCAAGUUGUUGAUUGGCAAACGAAGCAAGCUCGAUUGCGAAGAACUAUGCGUCUCCACGUGUAAAAUCACCAAGGCUGGGAUUGGGGGCCCACUUAUUGACACUGGUGGGAAUUUUCUUGGUAUGAACUUUUACCAUGAGGAAGAAACUCCGUUCCUGCCGAGGGAUGUUAUUCACCUCCUCUUGUUGAACUUAAAUAAAGGAUGGACUAGGGCAGGUGAUACUAUUGUUGAGGGUGACGAAAAGAGAUGGCUGUUGGCUGGUACAUGUUGGUCCCAUGGAAAUGCUGAUACUAUUGCCGAGGGUGGUGUCAACAAGUGGCCGUUGCCCGAGCCAUGUGUGCUCCCUGCUGAUAUACCUGAACCUACUACAUUGGAUUUCUACGAGCUGGUUAGGAGGCAGUGUGCUUUUUAGUCCUGCUACUGCUCGUGGUAAUCGAUAAUGUGUUCAUGUUGGUUGGCUGUCUGACGUCCACUCCAGUCUUUGUGUUGCUUGAGUUGUCCCAUCUUUGUGUUGCACGAUGAAUGUAAAUGAGUCAUGUCUAAACAGUGAAGUACUACCUCCGUCCCAUAAUAUGAGACACUUUUGUAAGCUA